GACGAACGCUGGCGGCGUGCUUAACACAUGCAAGUCGAACGGAAAGGCCUGCUUUCCCUUGUGGAUUGCGGGUACUCGAGUGGCGAACGGGUGAGUAACACGUGAGUGAUCUGCCCCCAACUUGGGUAUAAGCCUGGGAAACUGGGUCUAAUUCCCGAUAGGACUGCAGGGUGGUGCCUGUGGUGGAAAACGAUUUUCUAGUGGGUGGGGAUGAGCUCGCGGCCUAUCAGCUUGUUGGUGGGGUAAUGGCCUACCAAGGCGGCGACGGGUAGCCGGCCUGAGAGGGUGGACGGCCACAUUGGGACUGAGAUACGGCCCAGACUCCUACGGGAGGCAGCAGGGGGGAAUAUUGCACAAUGGGCGGAAGCCUGAUGCAGCGACGCCGCGUGGGGGAUGACGGCCUUCGGGUUGUAAACUCCUUUCGACCGCGAGGAAGCCACCUGGUUGGAAGGGUGGUGACGGUAGUGGUAGAAGAAGCACCGGCUAACUACGUG
rnacentral:rRNA from 1 species